UAAACCAGAAAAAUGAAACAGCAUCAUCAGUGUCUCAAAUUGUCAAAUGACUGGGAGGAAAACCCUUGGCCCAGGAGAGAUCACGGAAGGCUGGUCACAAACCAAGCCAGAUGUUGACUUUCUUAAGACCAGCGAAUAGAGACAGGAGUUUCUUUUAUACUUAGAGAAACCAGAGAGUUUCACGGUAGCGUAACAACACGAGUGAUGAUGGAAUGGAAGAAAGAGAACUAAAGGAGAGCCAUCAAAUCAGACAAAAGCUAUCUGUCUCUUUGGAGAGACAACCUCUGGGCUCAUCCACUGCAUUACAUUCUUAGAGCUUGUAGAAGAGCGGUCAUUAAAUAUUUUCAAGGCUACAGACUCCUUCAAGAAUUGAUAAAAGCUAUAGAACUUCUUUCCACAAAAAUGCAUGUAUUGCACACUGAAUGUCUGCAUGCAGUCCUUGAGGGGAGGACCUCUGAGGCCUAUCUCUGAGUCUGCAGUGUCCAUGAGCCCAUGUCAGGAAUUCCUGCAACACACAUUAUGUGAUUUUAAAAUACUUAAAUGAAAGUUUUUUCCAGUGUCCUCCAGAAGCAAAUUCCAUUAAACAAGCCAAUGUGUAUAAUAUUACCCUAGAAAUUCGAGAGUUGGUGUGAUGCAAAUGGGAGAUAUGAGCAUGUGUGUGCAUGUGUGUGUGCUUGUGUAUACCUUCACAUCUUAUCUAUAAAC
rnacentral:lncRNA from 1 species